AUUAAAUUUAAUUUAGGAUUAAAUUUUAUAUUAUAUACUUUAAUUUAUGAUAUAUAAUUUAAUCUAAAAUUUAUGGGGAUAAGCUCGUAAAUUUAUUUAUAGUUUUAAGUGUUUAAGUUUUGUAGGAUUAAAAAUUUCUAUCAUUUAUUUUGUUAUAAUUAAACUUAAAUUAAAAUUUAUUUAAAUAAAACUUAAAUGAAUAUUAAGAAUAAUUAAGUAAUUAUAUUUAAUUGUAAUAAUGAUAAAAUUAGUAGAUCGUUAAUUAAUAUAUAGUAAUUCGGCAAAAUUGUUCUUCACCUGUUUAACAAAAACAUGUCCUGAUGUUUUAUAUUAGGUCUAACCUGCUCAAUGAUAUUUAAAUAGCCGCAGUAUUUUGACUGUGCGAAGGUAGCAUAAUCAUUUGUCUUUUAAUUGAAGGCUUGUAUGAAAGGUUGGAUGAGGGAACAGCUUUCUUUAUAUUAAAUAUUGAAUUUAAUUUUUAGGUUAAAAAGCUUAAAUUUUUAAAAGGGACGAGAAGACCCUGUAGAAUUUUAUUAUUAUUUAAUAUUAUAAUUGGCUAUUAUAGAUACAUAUAUAAUUUUGUUGGGGUGAUAGUGAGAUUUUUUUAACUCUUAUAGUUUAUUUAUUGUUAAUUAGCAUAUUUAUGAUCCUAUUUUAUGGAUAAUUAGAU
rnacentral:rRNA from 1 species